AGUUGGUAAGGUAAAGGCUUACCAAGGCUAUGACGGGUAGGGGACCUGAGAGGGUGGCCCCCCACAAUGGAACUGAAACACGGUCCAUACACCUACGGGUGGCAGCAGUAGGGAAUAUUAGUAAUGGGCGAAAGCCUGAACUAGCAACGCCGCGUGUGCGAAGAAGGCCUUCGGGUUGUAAAGCACUUUUUGAGAGGAUGAGGAAGGACGGUACUCUCAGAAUAAGUCUCGGCUAACUACGUGCCAGCAGCCGCGGUAACACGUAGGAGGCGAACGUUAUCCGGAUUUACUGGGCGUAAAGCGCGUGUAGGUGGUUUGGUAAGUAGGGCGUGAAAGCUCCUGGCUCAACUGGGAGAGGCCGUUCUAAACUGCCGAACUAGAGGAUGGUAGAGGGAGGUGGAAUUCCGGGUGUAGCGGUGGAAUGCGCAGAUAUCCGGAGGAACACCAGUGGCGAAAGCGGCCUCCUGGACCACUCCUGACACUCAGACGCGAAAGCUAGGGUAGCAAACGGGAUUAGAGACCCCGGUAGUCCUAGCCCUAAACGAUGUAGACUUGGCGUCGGUGGUUUAAACGCCAUCGGUGUCGAAGCUAACGC
rnacentral:rRNA from 1 species